GCCAGAUAAUGAUGACUUGUGCAGAAACCCACCCGGGCUGCCCAUGUCUGAGCCUCUGUGGC
rfam:Erinaceus europaeus unplaced genomic scaffold scaffold00687, whole genome shotgun sequence